CUGCCAUUGAUACUGCAGGUCUUGAGUAAAUUUGAAGUGGCUGGAAUAAGUAGUGUAGCGGUGAAAUGCAUAGAUAUUACUUAGAACACCAAUUGCGAAGGCAGGUCACUAAGAUUUAACUGACGCUGAUGGACGAAAGCGUGGGGAGCGAACAGGAUUAGAUACCCUGGUAGUCCACGCCGUAAACGAUGCUAACUCGUUUUUGGGGUUUCGGCUUCAGAGACUAAGCGAAAGUGAUAAGUUAGCCACCUGGGGAGUACGUUCGCAAGAAUGAAACUCAAAGGAAUUGACGGGGGCCCGCACAAGCGGUGGAUUAUGUGGUUUAAUUCGAUGAUACGCGAGGAACCUUACCAAGACUUAAAUGGGAGUGGACAGGCUUAGAAAUAGGCUCUCCUUCGGGCCGCUUCCAAGGUGCUGCAUGGUUGUCGUCAGCUCGUGCCGUGAGGUGUUAGGUUAAGUCCUGCAACGAGCGCAACCCCUGUCACUAGUUGCUAGCAUUAAGUUGAGGACUCUAGUGAGACUGCCUACGCAAGUAGAGAGGAAGGUGGGGAUGACGUCAAAUCAUCACGGCCCUUACGUCUUGGGCCACACACGUAAUACAAUGGCCGGUACAGAGGGCAGCUACACAGCGAUGUGAUGCAAAUCUCGAAAGCCGGUCUCAGUUCGGAUUGGAGUCUGCAACUCGACUCUAUGAAGCUGGAAUCGCUAGUAAUCGCGCAUCAGCCAUGGCGCGGUGAAUACGUUCCCGGGCCUUGUACACACCGCCCGUCAAGCCAUGGAAGUCUGGGGUACCUGAAGUC
rnacentral:rRNA from 1 species